UACGAAGGUGGCAAGCGUUGUUCGGAUUUACUGGGCGUACAGGGAGCGUAGGCGGUUGGGUAAGCCCUCCGUGAAAUCUCCGGGCCUAACCCGGAAAGUGCGGAGGGGACUGCUCGGCUAGAGGAUGGGAGAGGAGCGCGGAAUUCCCGGUGUAGCGGUGAAAUGCGUAGAGAUCGGGAGGAAGGCCGGUGGCGAAGGCGGCCGCCUGGUUGGAUACUGACGGCUGAGACGCGAAAGCGUGGGGAGCAAACAGG
rnacentral:rRNA from 1 species